rnacentral:rRNA from 1 species
AUACGGAGGAUCCGAGCGUUAUCCGGAUUUAUUGGGUUUAAAGGGAGCGUAGGUGGACAGUUAAGUCAGUUGUGAAAGUUUGCGGCUCAACCGUAAAAUUGCAGUUGAUACUGGCUGUCUUGAGUACAGUAGAGGUGGGUGGAAUUCGGGGGGUAGCGGGGAAAUGCUUAGAUAUCACGAAGAACUCCGAUUGCGAAGGCAGCUCACUGGACUGCAACUGACACUGAUGCUCGAAAGUGUGGGUAUCAAACAGGAUUAGAUACCCUGGUAGUCCACACAGUAAACGAUGAAUACUCGCUGUUUGCGAUAUACAGUAAGCGGCCAAGCGAAAGCAUUAAGUAUUCCACCUGGGGAGUACGCCGGCAACGGUGAAACUCAAAUGAAUUGACGGGG